rnacentral:rRNA from 1 species
GGGUUGUGAGGUUAAGCGACUAAGCGUACACGGUGGAUGCCCUGGCAGUCAGAGGCGAUGAAGGGCGUGCUAAUCUGCGAUAAGCGCCGGUAAGGUGAUAUGAACCGUUAUAACCGGCGAUACCCGAAUGGGGAAACCCAGUGUGACUCGUCACACUAUCAUUAACUGAAUCCAUAGGUUAAUGAGGCGAACCGGGGGAACUGAAACAUCUAAGUACCCCGAGGAAAAGAAAUCAACCGAGAUUCCCCCAGUAGCGGCGAGCGAACGGGGAGGAGCCCAGAGCCUGAAUCAGCAUGUGUGUUAGUGGAAGCGUCUGGAAAGGCGCGCGAUACAGGGUGACAGCCCCGUACACAAAAGCGCAUGUGCUGUGAGCUCGAUGAGUAGGGCGGGACACGUGGUAUCCUGUCUGAAUAUGGGGGGACCAUCCUCCAAGGCUAAAUACUCCUGACUGACCGAUAGUGAACCAGUACCGUGAGGGAAAGGCGAAAAGAACCCCGGCGAGGGGAGUGAAAAAGAACCUGAAACCGUGUACGUACAAGCAGUGGGAGCCCCACCACCAAAGCAUUCUCUGGUGUUGAAGGCCCUGCAAAGCAGCAUCGCGGUGGCGGAGCGUCGUUUGCGACGCCCAACACACAAAACAAGCGGUGAAUGCUUUGGGGUGGGGUGACUGCGUACCUUUUGUAUAAUGGGUCAGCGACUUAUAUUCUGUAGCAAGGUUAACCGAAUAGGGGAGCCGGAGGGAAACCGAGUCUUAAUUGGGCGUUAAGUUGCAGGGUAUAGACCCGAAACCCGGUGAUCUAGCCAUGGGCAGGUUGAAGGUUGGGUAACACUAACUGGAGGACCGAACCGACUAAUGUUGAAAAAUUAGCGGAUGACCUGUGGCUGGGGGUGAAAGGCCAAUCAAACCGAGAGAUAGCUGGUUCUCCCCGAAAGCUAUUUAGGUAGCGCCUCGUGAAUUCAUCUCCGGGGGUAGAGCACUGUUUCGGCUAGGGGGCCAUCCCGGCUUACCAACCCGAUGCAAACUGCGAAUACCGGAGAAUGUUAUCACGGGAGACACACGGCGGGUGCUAACGUCCGUCGUGAAGAGGGAAACAACCCAGACCGCCAGCUAAGGUCCCAAAGUCAUGGUUAAGUGGGAAACGAUGUGGGAAGGCCCAGACAGCCAGGAUGUUGGCUUAGAAGCAGCCAUCAUUUAAAGAAAGCGUAAUAGCUCACUGGUCGAGUCGGCCUGCGCGGAAGAUGUAACGGGGCUAAACCAUGCACCGAAGCUGCGGCAGCGACGCUGAUGCGUUGUUGGGUAGGGGAGCGUUCUGUAAGCCUGCGAAGG